CAAUCAGAGGGUCCACAGUUCGAAUCCUGCUGGCAGCAUUUUUAAUUUUUUUUUUUUUUUUUUUUUUAAUUCAAAUGACACGGAAACACUUAGAAAGGUGGAAAUGACCUCUAAUUGUUCUCUGAACAAUUAGUCUACUAGUAUUUUUAGGUCUUUCCACCUUUCUGUGGAAAGACCUCUUGAAAUGCUUAUGUUUAUUAGGGCUUUCCACCUUUCUGUGGAAAGACCUCUUGAAAUGCUUAUGUUUAUUAUUAGGGCUUUCCACCUUUCUGUGGAAAGACCUCUUGAAAUGCUUAUUCUACUAGUUAUUAUUAUUAUUCUUUUUCUUCCCGAACUUUUGAAAUCGUAAGACUUAUCGAAAAACGUUAUGGUUCAUGAUAUUGGAUAUUAAAAGUUAUUCCGAAAAACGACCCAAGAAGUUUGAACUUUGACCCCUUUCAAAGUUAUUGCCCCUUUCACAAGAAAUGCUUGUUAUCGCUACUCCUUUGAAACCGUAAACCGUAGAGGUAUGAAACCUUCACCAAUGUCUUUGACUAAUUGAGAGGACUCUGGAAUCUAUUCAUUGCAAAAUUCUUCGGCGACUCCUUCAAUGAGUAAUUGCCCCUGAAAGUUUUAAAGUUUACAAGAAAAAUUAAAAACUUUUAAAUGACAAGUGGUAAAGACAUAGGACCAAGUGCAUGAGAUCUUAUGACCUUUUACCUUGAAAAGUAGGUCAAGGUCAAAGGUCAAAGUCACUGGAAAAGUAGAUAAAUUGUCAAUUUAAGCUAAAUAUCCAAAUGACCUUGACCUUUGACCUUGAUAUUUGACAUUGACCUUGACCUCUGACCUUGACUCUUACUCAAAAGGUCAUAAAGAAAUAUUCAUUACCUUUAUCUAGAUUAAGACCAAGUGUUAAUCUCAAGUUUACCUCUCUCUCUCUUUUUUUUUUUGAUGACCUUGACCUUUGACCUUGAUAAAUGACCUUGACCCUUGACCCCAUUGACCUAAAGGUCACAAUCAAGCUAAAAGUCGUGGAGGUAUUUACAACCAUCACUCUAACAAAUGCUUAUAAAAUCAACACCCCCC